rnacentral:rRNA from 1 species
CCUACGGGAGGCAGCAGUGAGGAAUAUUGGUCAAUGGGCGAGAGCCUGAACCAGCCAAGUCGCGUGAGGGAGUACUGCCCUAUGGGUUGUAAACCUCUUUUGUCGGGGAGCAAAAGCCGGACGUGUCCGGCUGUGAGAGUACCCGAAGAAAAAGGAUCGGCUAACUCCGUGCCAGCAGCCGCGGUAAUACGGAGGAUGCGAGGGUUAUCCGGAUUUAUUGGGUUUAAAGGGUGCGCAGGCGGAUUUUUAAGUCAGCGGUAAAAUCGUGGGGUUCAACCCCAUCCAGCCGUUGAAACUGGGGAUCUAGAGUGUGCGAGAGGUAUGCGGAAUGCGUGGUGUAGCGGUGAAAUGCAUAGAUAUCACGCAGAACCCCGAUUGCGAAGGCAGCAUACCGGUGCACAACUGACGCUCAGGCACGAAAGCGUGGGUAUCGAACAGGAUUAGAUACCCUAGUAGUC